rnacentral:rRNA from 1 species
UUAUAGAUGUAAUUUUAAAUACUAAAUUAGUAUAAGUUAUGUCCUUUAAAUUUAAAGAAUUUGGCGGUAUUUUAGUCUAUUCAGAGGAACCUGUCCUAUAAUUGAUAAUCCACGAUUUAUUUUACCAAUAUUUUUAAUUUAUAUAUCGUCGUUGUUUAAAUAUUUUAUAAGAAUUUAAAUAUUUAAAAUUUUUUAUAUAAAAAGGAAAUCAGAUCAAGAUAUAGUUUAUAUAUUGGAAGAGAUGGGUUACAUUAAAAAAAUUUAUGGAUAAAUAGUUGAAAAUUAUUUAGAAAUUGGAUUUGAAGGUAAUUUUAUAUAUUUUUAUAAGAUGAUUUUAGCUCUAAAAUAUGU